rnacentral:rRNA from 1 species
AGAGUUUGAUCCUGGCUCAGAACGAACGCUGGCGGCGUGCUUAACACAUGCAAGUCGAACGCGAAAGGGACUUCGGUCCUGAGUAAAGUGGCGCACGGGUGAGUAACGCGUAGAUAACCUGUCUUUAUGUCUGGAAUAAUACGCCGAAAGGGGUACUAAUACCGGAUAUUUUUGCAUUGCAUAAGCAGUGUAAGCAAAGGUGGCCUCUGGCAUAAGCUACUGCAUAAAGAGGGGUCUGCGUACCAUUAGCUAGUAGGUGGGGUAAAGGCCUACCUAGGCUACGAUGGUUAGCGGGUCUGAGAGGAUGAUCCGCCACACUGGCACUGGAACACGGGCCAGACUCCUACGGGAGGCAGCAGUGAGGAAUAUUGCGCAAUGGGGGCAACCCUGACGCAGCGACGCCGCGUGAGUGAGGAAGGCCUUCGGGUCGUAAAGCUCUGUCAAAGGGAAAGAAGUGCAUGGUGGUUAAUACCUGCCAUGUUUGACGGUACCCUUAAAGGAAGCACCGGCUAACUCCGUGCCAGCAGCCGCGGUAAUACGGAGGGUGCAAGCGUUGUUCGGAAUUACUGGGCGUAAAGGGCGCGUAGGCGGUUUUAUAAGUCAGAUGUGAAAGCCCACGGCUUAACUGUGGAAGUGCAUUUGAAACUGUGAGACUUGAGUACCAGAGGGGAAAGUGGAAUUCCCGGUGUAGAGGUGAAAUUCGUAGAUAUCGGGAGGAAUACCGGUGGCGAAGGCGACUUUCUGGCUGGA